rnacentral:tRNA from 1 species
CUCACUAUAGUUUAAUUAAAACAUCGACCUGCAAAAUCGAAAAUGAAUUAAUAUUUCUAGUGUGU